CCACCCGAUACUGAUAGUUAUGGCCGGUUCUAGGGGACAUGGAUCCCCUGACGUACAUUACCCUGCAGUUUGGUCACUGGCAGGUGGGCCUCAUGCCUGACAACCCCACAUGUCAGUGACUCUAUGUCAGGGGAGGCUACAUCACAGGAUCUCCUUUCGGUUCUAGGCUUAUCUGACAAGCUACUGCUCAUUUUUUUUCUCGUUUUUUUUCCUUCCUUUAUCCAAAGCGGGACCCACAGUGACUUGUAAUCAAACUCACUUUUUUUUCCAGUGUUUGUUGCAUUAUUAUUUUCAGUGUUUUUGCAUUAUUAUUUUCAGUGUUUUUGCAUUAUCAACGAUUCUUGCAGGUCAUUUCUGUACGGGAUUUAAUGUAACUAAAGAAAAUUCGAAUGGGUCUUGAAAAUAAAUACAUACAUACAUACAUACAUACAUACAUAUAGUUCAUCUCUCCAGCAUUACAUAUAGAAAUAUAUAAAAAAGGAAAAAUACAUAUGGAAUUUUAUUCCACGCUCCUGGUGAUAUUCUCCAAGGCCAUGGUACAUGUCUCCAGUGUACCGAUCAACGAUCGUAGC
rnacentral:lncRNA from 1 species